UACGUAGGGUGCAAGCGUUAAUCGGAAUUACUGGGCGUAAAGCGUGCGCAGGCGGUUAUGUAAGGCAGAUGUGAAAUCCCCGGGCUCAACCUGGGAACUGCAUUUGUGACUGCAUCGCUGGAGUGCGGAAGAGGGGGAUGGAAUUCCGCGUGUAGCAGUGAAAUGCGUAGAUAUGCGGAGGAACACCGAUGGCGAAGGCAAUCCCCUGGGCCUGCACUGACGCUCAUGCACGAAAGCGUGGGGAGCAAACAGG
rnacentral:rRNA from 1 species